UUUAAGGUAGUUAUUCUUCUA
rnacentral:piRNA from 1 species